rnacentral:rRNA from 1 species
AGAGUUUGAUCCUGGCUCAGGAUGAACGCUGGCGGUAUGCCUAAUACAUGCAAGUCGUGCGGAAAGGCCUCUUCGGAGGUACUCGAGCGGCGGACGGCAGAGUAACGCGUAGGAACAUACCCCAAACUGAGGGAUAACUGCUCGAAAGAGUAGCUAAUACCGCAUGUGGUCUUCGGACUAAAGCUUCGGCGGUUUGGGAAUGGCCUGCGUUCGAUUAGCUAGUUGGUGAGGUAAAUUGCUCACCAAGGCGACGAUCGAUAGCUGGUCUGAGAGGAUGAUCAGCCUGACUGGAACUGAGACACGGUCCAGACUCCUACGGGAGGCAGCAGUAGGGAAUUUUCCACAAUGGGCGAAAGCCUGAUGGAGCAAUACCGCGUGCAGGAUGAAGGCCUUCGGGUCGUAAACUGCUUUUAUGUGAGAAGAAUUUGACGGUAACACGUGAAUAAGGGUCGGCUAACUACGUG